AUGCUCACUUUGGCAGCACAUAUACUAAAACUGGAACAAUACAGAGAAGAUUAGCAUGGCCCCUGCACAAGGAUGGCACGCAAAUUUGUGGAGCGUUCCAUAUUUUU
ensembl:snRNA U6 U6 spliceosomal RNA